rfam:Triticum aestivum genome assembly, contig: Triticum_aestivum_CS42_TGACv1_scaffold_130967_2BL
CAUGUAUUCCCUCCGUCCGGAAAUACUUGUCAUCAAAAUGAAUAAAAGGGGAUGUAUUUAGAUGUAUUUUAGAUUUAGAUACAUCCUUUUUUGUCCAUUUUGAUGACAAGUAUUUUCAAACGGAGGGAGUACGUG